rnacentral:rRNA from 1 species
UGAAAAGCACUUCGAACAGAAGAGUGAAAUAGUUCCUGAACCCAUACGCCUACAAGCUGUCGGAGCCGCUUCGUGCGGUGACGGCGUGCCUUUUGCAUAAUGAGCCUACGAGUUACUCAUCACCAGCGAGGUUAAGUACUUCAGGUACGUAAGCCGAAGCGAAAGCGAGUCUGAAUAGGGCGUCAAGUUGGUGGUGGUAGACGCGAAACCUUAGUGAUCUACCCAUGGGCAGGGUGAAGGUUUGGUAACACAAACUGGAGGCCCGAACCGGUAAACGUUGAAAAGUUUUCGGAUGACCUGUGGGUAGGGGUGAAAGGCCAAUCAAACUGGGAAAUAGCUCGUACUCUCCGAAAUGCAUUUAGGUGCAGCCUCUGUUGUUUUGUUCUAGAGGUAGAGCUACUGAUUGGAUGCGAGGGCUUCACCGCCUAUCAAAUCCGGCCAAACUCCGAAUGCUAGAACAUGAAGACAGGGAGUGAGCCAGCGGGUGCUAAGGUCCGUUGACGAAAGAGGGAGAACUCAGACCAUCAGCUAAGGUCCCCAAUUAUAUGCUAAGUUGGAAUAAAAACGGGGUGGGACUGCUUAGACAGCUAGGAUGUUGGCUUGGAAGCAGCCAUUCAUUUAAAGAGUGCGUAACAGCUCACUAGUCGAGCGGUCCUGCAUGGAUAAUACGCGGGCAUAAGCAUAUAACCGAAGCUAUGGGAUUGUAGAUGAUACAAUCGGUAGGAGAGCAUUCCAUUCAGCAUAGAAGCAGUACCGUGAGGUAUUGUGGAGCGGAUGGAAAAGCAAAUGUAGGCAUAAGUAACGAUAAUGCGGGUGAGAACCCCGCACGCCGAAAGAUCAAGGAUUCCCCGGCAAUGUCAAUCAUCCGGGGGUAAGUCGGAUCCUAAGGGUAAGCCGAGUGGCGAUCCCGAUGGUAAACAGGUUAAUAUUCCUGUACUGAUCAUAACUGCGAUGCAGCGACGCAGAGGUGACACUGCUGCGUACUGACGGAAUAGUACGUUGAAACCCGUAUUCUUUGAUACCGGUAGUGAAGCACGCCGGUAGAGAUGAAAGGUGAUAGUACCGCAAUGCUUCGGUUGCGCGGAUAACGCAGGUAAGCUGACUGCCAAGAAAACCUGCUAAGCUUCAGGUAAUGAUCAUCCGUACUGUAAACGGACACACGUGAUCAGGUAGAAAAUACUAAGGCGCUGAGAGAUUCAUGGUUAAGGAACUAGGCAAAAUGGUCCUGUAACUUCGGGAUAAAGGACGCUCUUGUGAAAGAGCCGCAGAUAAUAGGCCCAGGCGACUGUUUACCAAAAACACAUGGCUAUGCUAAUUCGCAAGAAGAUGUAUAUGGCCUGACACCUGCCCGGUGCCGGAAGGUUAAGAGGAGAGCUCAGAUGUAAGUCGAAGGUUUGAAUUGAAGCCCCGGUAAACGGCGGCCGUAACUAUAACGGUCCUAAGGUAGCGAAAUUCCUUGUCGGGUAAGUUCCGACCUGCACGAAUGGUGUAACGAUCUGGGUACUGUCUCAACCAUGAGCUCGGUGAAAUUGUAGUUCCGGUGAAGAUGCCGGAUACCCGCAACGGGACGGAAAGACCCCGUGAACCUUUACUGCAGCUUUGCAUUGAUUUUGGGUAACAGAUGUGUAGGAUAGGUCGGAGGCUUUGAUGCUGCGUCGUCAGGCGUAGAGUAGCCGUCGUUGAAAUACGACCCUUUUGUUAUCUGAGGUCUAACCCGUUAGGGAGACAUUGCAUGGUGGGUAGUUUGACUGGGGUGGUCGCCUCCAAAAGUGUAACGGAGGCUUCUCAAGGUACCCUCAAGGCGUUUGGUAAUCGUCUGCAGAGUGCAAUGGCAUAAGGGUGCUUGACUGUGAGACCGACACGUCGAUCAGGUUGGAAACAAGAGCAUAGUGAUCCGGUGGUUCCGCAUGGAAGGGCCAUCG